UCAAAUACAUAUGUUCUUUACUUCUUUACCUCCAUUUUUAUUAUCAAUUUUAAUAUUAUUCCAUGGCUUUUGAAUCCAAUUCGCCAUUGUUAACGAAAAAAAAAGAAACAGGGAAAAAGGGGGGAAAUCCAGCAUCUUCACCUCUGGAAAUAUUAUUACUCGUUGAUGGAUUAAUGGUUGAUUUUGUUUAUUGGUUUUUUGAGGGUCCGAAGUGAUUUUUGAUAAGGAGGUGACAAAUUAAGGUAGGUGACAAAAUGCACUUGAUGACUGAUGGGGGCCCAAACCACUUCAGCCAUUGGCUAUUGGCUAUUGGCUGCUACUCCACUACUCUAUCGUGGGCUGAUGAUAAUCUCCGAGGUUAUGUGGUAUUGUUGUUUUCACUUUUAUUUUUUUCAAUGUUCUAUGUAAUUAUAUUAUGACCUGUUUGGGUUUGGUUAGCUAGAUUUCAGUGAAGUUUCUACUAAAAUGAACAAAAAAUUUGUCCCCAACCCCAAACCUUUCUCUUUUCUUUUCUUUUUUUCAUCCGAACGAAGGGGUGACUGCCCUAAAUUAGGCAUAUGUGAGAAAAGGUGAUGCUGAGGCUGAAGGGUGGGCGAGCUUUAUUGAGUAAGCGGUUGGUGAUAGUGAGGGAGUGAGAUGGGGCACCACUUGUCUUGAGACAAAUAUGCUUUGGUUAGGUCAGUUUCAUAGUGAUAAAACACAGUGGGACCAAUAGGGGCUACCCCUUGUUUUCUUUCCUAAAUGGUUUUAUUCAUGAUUUAGCCUAUAAAUUAUAUAUUUUUACAGUGAUAUUAAAUCUUUUUGGGUAAACUACAUAAUUAGUCACCCAACUAUUAGUAAUUUCUUUUUUGGUCACUCAAAUAUAAAAAUUUACAAAAUAGUCACCAAAUAUUUAAUUUCGUCCAGCUAAUAUAAAAAAAAACCAAAAAAUCCAAUAUAAUUGAAUGACCAAAGAAAAUAAAAUUAAAUAAUUGAGUGAUUAUUUUAUCGUUUUUCAUAAUUGAGUGACUACUAUUAUAGAUUACCAACUUUUUUUUUUAUCUCGCUUUCAUAUUUGAGUUCAUUUUUCCCUAUUUCCUCCUCAAAGUUACCGGUUUCUAUAACAACAUGUUAUAUGUUAUGUUUUUAUUGAAAAAGGUUUUUUUUAGUAAACUAGGAUGAAAAUGAUAAUUCAAAAACUAAACUAUUAUAAAAAAAUAGGUACGAAAAUAAGAAAAUAUGUAUAAUUUAGAGUACUAAUAUAUUAUUUUUGAAUAAUCUCAUUAUAAAUUUUGAUUACAUCUGUUAUUUGUGACACAAUGUUAGAACUACUCAUAUCCCUUCCUCAAUUCAUAAAUAGAAGGAUAUUAUACUUCAGCGUACUCAAACUCACACCCUUCUGUAUUGGUAAUAAUGUCCAUAGCAAUCGAACUAAUAUUCAAUGUCGUCCAUGAUUCUAAUAUAAAUAAGUUAUUUAAUUAAAUAUCACUUUAAUCAAUGGAUAUUAUCACAAAGCAAGUGAAAAAAAGCAGCACUUUUCAGCUGUCAACAUCCACCAUUAGUGCUUCUUUUUUCAAAAGCAAUUACAACCCUUUUUGUGUGUGUGAAAUUGUUAAAACACAUGCUUGCAAUCAUACCCUUUUCAAAAUAAUUAAAAAAAAUACUUUCGGCUGAAAAAAAAAAAGAAAAGCAAAAUGGAAUUUUACAUCCCUUAAAAUGUUGACUUUUCAAAGCUCAUUUAAAUUAAUGAAAUGGAGAAAUUUUGAUUAAUAUUUUCGGGGCAAAAAGACAAUAUGGUUACGAGAAACUUUGUUGUUAACAAGAUCGGGCUGAAGUUAGAAUUUUUUUUUUAAGAAAACGAAAUUAAAUUGUAAUUUUUAUAAUAGUAAAAAUGCACUUUGAUAAUUUGAGUAAUCUGUAUCUUUAUAAUUUUUAAAGGAUUAAAUCAAAUUUUUAUCAUUUUAGGGGGCAAAGUGUAAUUUUACUUUUACUAAUUUAAAAUUUUUAAAAAAUUUAAAGGGCCUAAAUGAAAAUUUUGCCAACCCCCUAGCUACUCCCCCAGAUGAGAUAGGAUUAGUGAGUAUAUUAUUAUCUUGUCUCGUUUGGUUACUAAAGUAAUAAUAACAAGAAAAAGCUUAUCUAUUACGCAUGUGUUACAAUAAUUAGACAUAAAUAAAAAUUAAUUAGUAAGCAUUUAAACUUAAAAUUAGAAAGAUGACUAAUAGCUAAUGUAAAAAAUAAGACAUCUUCAAAAUAAGCGAAAAUUUGUCUUUUCACUGCUAAAAAUAAGUCAUGAGAGUGGCUAAAUAUUACCGGUCGAAUUAGUUUAUUACUAACCCAUAUACUAAAAUAUAUUGAAAAAAAAUAAUUUUUUACUAAAAGUAGUUAUUUUUUAUAAUAAUAAAUAACAAUUUUAUUAUUAUUAAAAUUAAAUUAAUAUUCGAUUGAAUUGUACAAUCAUAUUAAAUCUUUAUAAAUUUUUGUUAAAAUUGAAUUAUUGAUGGUGUCAUAAAAUAUUUGUGUUAAAAUUUUAUACCGGUAUCAAUUUCACGUUUUAUCUUUAAGAAAACUUUUAUUAAAAGUCACAUUUUUAUAUUUAAUAUAUUUUUUAAUUUCAAAAUACAUAGUGACAAAAAUCAGAAGAUAAUUGAAGCAACAAAACAAGUAAAGAAGCUAACACAUAUAUAAAAGUUAAUAACAAAUUUGAUUACAGUGGGCAAAUUUGAUUACGGUAGAUGACAGUGGUUACAAUGACCCAAAAUUAUUUUUUUAAAUUUAACCCGAAUAAAUAUAUUCGAUUCGAUUCGAGGAAAUUUCAAGAUGAUAAAAUAACAUUCGUUAACUUGAUUAACUCAAAAUUUUUUAUUCAAUUCAAUUCAAUUCAAUCCAACGUCCACUAGGGUCUAAAAUCUUAUAUACUAAAUAUUUUCAUUUAAAUAAUCAUAUAUUUGAAAAAAGUUGUAAAAACAUUUAUUUUAUGGAUAAUCGUCAUUGCAGCGGAUGAAAACAAUUUAUGUUCCUCAUGGGAUGGUGUCUCCUUUGUCAAUUAGUGGAAGCCAAGCUAACCCCACGUAUCCAUUUACUUUAGGAUUAAUGAAAACGAUAAAGGGUUCAUUUGCACUCGUGUAAAAUUAUUAAUAUAAUUUUAUAACUUUUUAUAACUUUUACUAUAUCUAAUAUUUUAAUAAUUCAUCUGUAACAGUUUAUGUUUAUUUCUGUAAAUUAUGCAUGUCAAUUUUGAAAUAAAUUAAAAUUUUAACUAUUUAUUUUAUGUUAAAAACCUUUUAAUUGUUAUUUAUAUAAUAUUUUCAAUAGAUACGAUAGGAGUAUCAGGUUAAUUCGAAAAUUAAUUGUAAAAAAAUAAUGCAAGCGUGUAAAAUCAUAUUAGAUUUUACACUAGUGUAAAUAAUCCCAUAUUCAAUGAAAAUAAUAUUAAGUGCGGAUAAAUAAAUAAAUAAUAUUCUAAGGACAAUUAUUUGAUACAUAAAAUGUGAAAUUUUUUUUACAAUGGUGAAGUCAGAUUUUUUUUUGAGGUAUCAAAAUUGAAUUGUAUACUUAUACAAUAAUAAAAAUACAAUUUCAUCAUUUUAAUAGUCUAUAUCUUUAUAAUUUUUAGAGGAUUAAAUUAAAUUUUUAUCAUUUUUUAGGGGGCUAAAGUGUAAUUUUACCAUUACUAGUUUAGAACUUUAUAAAUUAUAAAAGGCGUAAAUGAAAAUUUCUAAAAUGAUUUUAUAUAAACUUAAAAUGAUAUUAAAUCAAAAAUUGUGUAAGUAAAUUGUGAAAAUUGAAUUAAAUUAAUAUUUUCAUGUAUAAUAAUUUUAUUUAUUUAUUUUCUUCUAUAUAAGUGUAGUAUCAAAAUUUCUAGUAUUUGUUUUUUAAUACAAUGCCUAGAAUUACCUAUAGCCCAUUCACUAACUCUUAAAUAAGAGGAUAAUACGUUUUAACACACUCGAACUUACAUUCUCUUGUACCGACAACAAUAUCAAUACUAACUAAGCCAAGACUCUAUCGACAGAAAAGGACAAUAAUUAAUUGGCCUCAAUAGUUGAAUUACUAAAAUCUAUAUUAUUAUAUAUAAAAGGAAGCCUCUAAUGCUAUAAUUUUUUUACACCUGUCUAAGGUUUUUAUUUUAAUUGUAAAUAUAAAAUGGUAAAAUUUUAAUUCCAAUCCUUUUAUUUUAUUUAGAUUACAUAAAAAUGUUCAAAUUUCAAUUUUAAUCUAUAUUACGGUAAAAUUUAAGAUUUAUUUUUCAUACAUAAUAUUUUACGUAAUUUGGUAUCUCAAUGAUUAUAAUUUCAUUAUUUAUUUAUAUAGAAAGAAAGUCCUAAGUGAUUUUGUCAAUAGAUGUAUCCCUUUUUAACGAGACGUGCAAAUUACCAUGUAUAUUACUCAAAACUAUCUAGAAUAAUAUAAAAUGUUAUAUUAAUAAUACUAAAUUUAAAAAUAAAUAAUCUUUUAAAAGUCAAUAUGUACAUUUAUCAAACAAUAUAAUUAUAUUUACUAAUAUUUCAGUAUAAAUAUAGCAUUUAUAAAAUUUAGCAGUAAAAAUUCACUACUUAAUAUUUCAGCACUUAAGUUUUCAGUUUAUCAAACACACCCUUAUUUUUAAAGCUAAACCUGUGAGUAUCAGAUUUAUUCAAUCUAAUGAAUAAUCACGUAAAUAAUUUUUAAAUAAUUAGACAAAUAACGUAAAUUCAAUAGCUUAAAAAAUAAAAAAACUAGAGGACAAAUAAUUUAUUUUGCAUUAAUUUUUUUUACCUUUAAUAAGUGAGAGACAAGAAUAAAUCCCUUCAUCUAAUUCAAUUAUUUAUUAUAAAAUUAGUAUGUUAAAAAAUGCUCUAGAUAAUAAUUAUUAUAGCAUAGAUUUUUUUUUUAAAUUUCAAAAAUUGAAAGUAAAUAUAUUAGGCCCCAAGUGUGGUCUGGGUUCGAGUUGCGCUAGUUGCGUUGGUUGUUUGGGUUUUGCUUUAUUAUUGUAAUUUACAGAAAAAUGACAUACAAUAAACAAUGAAAUGUUUGGUUGAAUGGUAAAUUUAAAAUUUUAGUAAUCCAAUUAGAGUAGUCAAGCGAGGUCAAAUCCUACCGUAUGUAUAUUUUUUUUCAUUUUUGUUAAAAUGAAAAGAUUAAAAUAUCCUCGAAUACUAUAAUUUAUUUUAAUUACGAAAGGAUGUUUUCUUAAUUUCUUAACAGAUUUGAUACCCAACACCAACUUUGUCAACAAUUUUAUUAAUAGUAUAGAAGUAUAUAGAUACAACUGGUGGAGAUUAUAAAUUGUGUAUAUAAAAAAUGUAUAAAACAGCAUAAUAAAGCUUUGAUUGAGUAGUAAAUUAUAAAUUUAAAGUUUUUCUAAUCCAUUUGGCGUGAGUUUAAAUCACAUCAUAAGCAUACUUUUUUUUUAAAUGAAAAGACUAAAGUACUUUAAAAUAAUAUGACUUGUUUUGAUUAUGAAAAAACAUUUUCGUAAUUUUUUAACUGAGUUGAUAUUUGAUUAACUCGUUACACAAACUCAAUCAGAGAUUUUAUUAAUAGUAAGUAUAUAUAUAACUGGUGGAGAUGAUAAAUUGUGUAUAUUAAAAAAUGUAUAAAAAUAUUAAAACAAUGUAAGUAACAUUUAUAAUUAAAUAAAAUAUUUAAAAUUAAAUUAUUUUAAAAUACACGUGUCAAACAUUCUGCAAAAAAAAAUUGAAACGGAGCCCGCUCGUAAGAGCGGUCCGACCGAACGAUCCACACCCCCAGCCAAUACCAAAAGCCAAUAAAUUAAAGGGAAAAUACCCAAUAACCGACGCAUGCUUUCUUUACGGCCUUUUCUCUCCCUCUAACAACGAACCAUCGACAUCCGUUACCGACUCCGUUCCGUCCGUUCAUCCCCGUUCUAACCUUUUUCUCUGACUUCAACAAAAGGCGUAAUAAAUUCUUUUUUCUCUCUUCUUUUUUGGAAUUUUGGUUUCAAAAAUCUAAAAAAUUCUGAAUCUAAAUUCCUUUUUUUUUGCAAUUUUUUUUUUGUAAUUCACCGAAUCGUACGGAUUUGAUCCGGUGUGAUGGCGUCCACAGUAAUGAAUCCAUCGACAAACAUGAAUUAUGAUCGAAGGAAGAUGAAGAAGAAGAAGAAACCGAUGAUCAAAGAGAAUCAUAUCAACCAGAGCCACACCAGAUAGAAAUCAGAGACACAGCAGCAGAUCUUUUCCUCGAAACUCAUUGAAGCUUUGAGUCAGCUCAGUUUGGAAAACGGUUCCACUCCUUUUCCUUCGGCUCCACGCGGUGGUCGAGCUGUACGUGAAGCUACUGAUAAAGCUUUGGCCAUCACGGCUAAAGGAAAAACCAGGUGGAGUCGAGCCAUUUUGACGGGCCGGCUUAAGCUGAUGUUUCGAAAGCGGAAGUGACAGAAAGGAUCCGCCGCUGCCGUGGCGACCGUCACCAGGAGUAGCCGGUCGAAGAAACCGAGAGUUAACGUCUCGAAAUUGAAAGCGAGAAGUAUACCGAACGUUCUAAGGAAAGUGAAAGCUCUUGGACGGUUAGUUCCCGGUUGCCGAAAGGAACCGUUACCGGUUAUUCUUGAAGAAGCUACUGAUUACAUAGCGGCACUUGAGAUGCAAGUUCGAGCCAUGACCACUCUCGCCGAGUUGCUAUCUGGUUCCGCCGCCAGCUCCAGCUCAGUCCCUCCCCCUCAUUCGCCGCCGCCGACUAGGCAGUGACAUUUUUUUUUAUUAUAAUUUCCAAGUGUCACCCUCUCUCUCUCUCUCCCCCUCUCCCUCUCUAUUACGUAAUUUUUUUCUUUCAAAAACGAAAAUAUCGCCCCUGUUCAAAUACAUGUGUUCUUUACUUCUUUACUUCCAUUUUUAUUAUCAAUUUUAAUAUUAUUCCAUGGCUUUUGAAUCCAAUCCGCCAUUGUUAACGAAAAAAAAAGAAACAGGGAAAAAUGGGGGAAAUCCAGCAUCUUCACCUCUGGAAAUAUUAUUACUCGUUGAUGGAUUAAUGGUUGAUUUUGUUUAUUGGUUUUUUGAGGGUCCGAAGUGAUUAUUGAUGAGGAGGUGACAAAUUAAGGUAGGUGACAAAAUGCACUUGAUGACUGAUGGGGGCCCAAACCACUUCAGCCAUUGGCUAUUGGCUAUUGGCUGCUACUCCACUACUCUAUCGUGGGCUGAUGAUAAUCUCCGAGGUUAUGUGGUAUUGUUGUUUUCACUUUUUUUUUUUUCAAUGUUCUAUGUAAUUAUAUUAUGACCUGUUUGGGUUUGGUUAGCUAGAUUUCAGUGAAGUUUCUACUAAAAUGAAUAAAAAAUUUGUCCCCAACCCCAAACCUUUCUCUUUUCUUUUUUUCAUCCUAACGAAGGGGUGACUGCCCUAAAUUAGGCAUAUGUGAGAGAAGGUGGUGCUGAGGCUGAAGGGUGGGCGAGCUUUAUUGAGAAAACGAUUGGUGAUAGUGAGGGAGUGAGAUGGGGCACCACUUGUCUUGAGACAAAUAUGCUUUGGUUAGGUCAGUUUCAUAGUGAUAAAACACA
rnacentral:lncRNA from 1 species